UAACUAGAGAACGUCAUGCAGUAGACAG
rnacentral:piRNA from 1 species